UAGUCCACGCCGUAAACGAUGAUCACUAGAUGUUGGCAAUAUACUGUCGGUGUCAAAGCGAAAGCAUUAAGUGAUCCACCUGGGGAGUACGAUCGCAAGGUUGAAACUCAAAGGAAUUGACGGGGGCCCGCACAAGCGGUGGAGCAUGUGGUUUAAUUCGAUGAUACGCGAGGAACCUUACCAGGGCUUAAAUGCAGAACGACAUUCCGGGAAACCGGAACUUCUUCGGACGGACUGCAAGGUGCUGCAUGGUUGUCGUCAGCUCGUGCCGUGAGGUGUCGGGUUAAGUCCCUUAACGAGCGCAACCCCUAUCUCUAGUUGCCAGCGGAUAAUGCCGGGGACUCUAGAGAAGCUGCCCACGUAAGUGGUGAGGAAGGUGGGGAUGACGUCAAAUCAUCACGGCCCUUACGUCCUGGGCUACACACGUGCUACAAUGGCCGGUACAGAAAGUUGCUACUCCGUGAGGAGAUGCUAAUCUCAAAAGCCGGUCUCAGUUCGGA
rnacentral:rRNA from 1 species